rnacentral:rRNA from 1 species
UACAGAGGGUGCAAGCGUUGUUCGGAAUUACUGGCGUAAAGCGCGUGUAGGCUGCGGAGUAAGUCGGAUGUGAAAUCCCUUGGCUUAACCAAGGAAGUGCAUCCGAUACUGUUUCGCUUGAGUGUCGGAGGGGAUGGCGGAAUUCCCGGUGUAGAGGUGAAAUUCGUAGAUAUCGGGAGGAACACCUGUGGUGAAGGCGGCCAUCUGGACGACAACUGACGCUGAGACGCGAAAAGCGUGGGUAGCAAACGAGGA